rnacentral:rRNA from 1 species
UUCCUACGGGGGGCAGCAGUAAGGAAUAUUGGGCAAUGGGCGCAAGCCUGACCCAGCCAUGCCGCGUGAAGGAUGACGGCCCUAUGGGUUGUAAACUUCUUUUGUACGGGAAAAAACCACCGGUCGUGAACCGGUGCUGAUGGUACCGUAAGAAUAAGCAUCGGCUAACUCCGUGCCAGCAGCCGCGGUAAUACGGAGGAUGCAAGCGUUAUCCGGAUUCAUUGGUUUAAAGGGUGCGCAGGCGGAAUGAUAAGGCAGUUGUGAAAUCCUACGGCUCAACUGUAGAACUGCCAUUGAUACUGUUAUUCUUGAGUACACUUGAAGUGGGCGGAAUGUGUCAUGUAGCGGUGAAAUGCUUAGAUAUGACACAGAACACCGAUCGCGAAGGCAGCUCACUAAAUUGUAACUGACGCUCAUGCACGAAAGCGUGGGGAUCAAACAGGAUUAGAUACCCGAGUAGUCCG